ACCUCCCACCCAUGUUUAUUUUACCUUGUUGCUUCGGCGGGCCCGCCUUAACUGGCCGCCGGGGGGCUUACGCCCCCGGGCCCGCGCCCGCCGAAGACACCCUCGAACUCUGUCUGAAGAUUGUAGUCUGAGUGAAAAUAUAAAUUAUUUAAAACUUUCAACAACGGAUCUCUUGGUUCCGGCAUCGAUGAAGAACGCAGCGAAAUGCGAUACGUAAUGUGAAUUGCAAAUUCAGUGAAUCAUCGAGUCUUUGAACGCACAUUGCGCCCCCUGGUAUUCCGGGGGGCAUGCCUGUCCGAGCGUCAUUGCUGCCCUCAAGCCCGGCUUGUGUGUUGGGCCCCGUCCUCCGAUUCCGGGGGACGGGCCCGAAAGGCAGCGGCGGCACCGCGUCCGGUCCUCGAGCGUAUGGGGCUUUGUCACCCGCUCUGUAGGCCCGGCCGGCGCUUGCCGAUCAACCCAAAUUUUUAUCCAGGUUGACCUCGGAUCAGGUAGGGAUACCCGCUGAACUUAAGCAUAUCAAUAAGCAGAGGAA
rnacentral:rRNA from 1 species